ACGGAAGGCAGCAGUGGGGAAUAUUGCACAAUGGGCGAAAGCCUGAUGCAGCGACGCCGCGUGAGUGAAGAAGUAUCUCGGUAUGUAAAGCUCUAUCAGCAGGGAAGAAAAUGACGGUACCUGACUAAGAAGCCCCGGCUAACUACGUGCCAGCAGCCGCGGUAAUACGUAGGGGGCAAGCGUUAUCCGGAUUUACUGGGUGUAAAGGGAGCGUAGACGGUUUGGCAAGUCUGAAGUGAAAUGCGGGGGCUCAACUCCUGAACUGCUUUGGAAACUGUCGAACUAGAGUGCAGGAGAGGUAAGUGGAAUUCCUAGUGUAGCGGUGAAAGGCGUAGAUAUUAGGAGGAACACCAGUGGCGAAGGCGGCUUACUGGACUGUAACUGACGUUGAGGCUCGAAAGCGUGGGGAGCAAACAGGAUUAGAUACCCUGGUA
rnacentral:rRNA from 1 species